rnacentral:rRNA from 1 species
GACGGAGGGUGCUAGCGUUGUUCGGAAUGACUGGGCGUAAAGGGCGCGUAGGCGGUUCGUGAAGUCGGGUGUGAAAGCCCGGGGCUCAACCCCGGAACGGCAUCCGAUACUGGCGGGCUUGAGACCGGGAGAGGAGGGUGGAAUACCCAGUGUAGAGGUGAAAUUCGUAGAUAUUGGGUGGAACACCGGUGGCGAAAGCGGCUCUCUGGCCCGGAUCUGACGCUGAGGCGCGAAAGCGUGGGGAGCAAACAGG